CCNACUAGUUCCGGGUUCGAGUCCCGGGCAACCCA
rnacentral:tRNA from 2 species